UCAUAACAAACAUCUUUGCAGGAAACACUUGGUCCAGAUGGUAUUCCUGGUUAUGACAAGGUUCAGCAAUUGGCUGCUUUUCUGGUGGACCUUGGAAAUAACCAGCUUUACCUGACCAAUAAUCAGGCUGAAGACUUAGUCAACUUAUGGACAUCCUUGGAUGAGUACGACAAGAGGCCCAUAAUAUUCACAGAAGCCUAUAGAAAGGAAUCCAAGGGUCGUUUUAGGGCAAAGAGACAGGCAGCUCCUGGGGCUGAAAGCACUGAAAGAAGUAUGAGGGGACCAGACUCUAUUCCAGCAGCAAAGCUGGACUGUAAUCGGUAUGUUGAGGCAUUUGUCGAGAGGCUGUGUCUCAGUAUUAGAGGACCACACAGGAGGGAGGGGCAAGUUUGGUCAUGGUGGUCUCUGAUUCUUGAGGCUUAUUCUAACAUCAGAACCACUGUGUACAGCAAUGCUAUGGUUGUUGCUAGAACAAGAAUGCAACUGCCAGAAAUCAGCCAGAAAACAUAAAAAGCCUGGCACAACAACAAAGCAAGAGAUGUAAGUAGGCAAGUUCUGCACCAAGGGAUACACUUGCCUGAGGCUAGUUUUACUGCUGUGGAUCCAUUACCACCACCUCAUGUGGCCCCAGCAGUUGUGCCUCUAAGCAAAGAAUCUGCAUUCCAGUUUGACUUGCCAGUGGAAGCAACCAUGACUAGACAACCAUAUAGAAAAAUAAGACCGGCUGAAACCAUACCCUCCUGUACAGGCAGUGGACCUCAACCAAUAAUCAUUCAGCAACUGGAUACUCCUGUGCCAUACACAACGCAGCGCUACAGAAAGUGAAAGGCUGAGGAAGAGCUUGUGGGCAGACACAGACGUAAAUAUGUAAAGGUGAAACCCUACAAGAACUGUGCUAGGUGUGGUGGUAUAAUUGAAAAACCAUCACACCGAAA